rnacentral:piRNA from 1 species
UGCCACCUCUGGAGUUCAGCCCAGUG